GAUGAAGAACGUAGCGAAAUGCGAUAAGUAAUGUGAAUUGCAGACUUAAGUGAAUCAUCGAAUCUUUGAACGCACCUUGCACCCUUUGGCAUUCCGAAGGGUAUGCUCGUUUGAGUGUCAUUGUACUCUCACACUCUCCGAUCCUAUGGAUUCGGGGAGCGGUGGACUUGGGUGUUGCUGCCUUUCCCUGUGGCUCACCUCAAAUGCGUCAGUGCACCUCUUGGUUGGACAUAGUACGGCGUGAUAAGUGUCUUCGCCGGCACCUCGCAAGAGGGUGGCCGAUCGGGAGCUCUGCGCUUUCAAACCGUCUUCGGACAAUUUCUGACAUCUUGACCUCAAAUCGAGUAGGACUACCCGCUGAACUUAAGCAUAUCAAUAAGCGGAGGA
rnacentral:misc_RNA from 1 species